AUGAAGGGUGGGUUCUAUGUCAGUCCCGAGGCAAAGCUGCUGUUUGUCAUCCGUAUCCGUGUUAUCAAUGCUAUGCACCCAAAGACCAAGAAGAUCUUGCAGCUUUUGCGUUUGAGGCAGGAGGAGCAGCGACAAUUACAUACCCAACCAUGGGAAUUCAUGGUUGAACCUCCCUCUACCUCUCUCAGGGCAUCCACCGCCACGAUGACGCUCCGCAUAUGGUCCAACUUGGCUAUAACCUCCUCUACCGCGUACAGCGGCCGAGGUUGUCUGCGGCAUCAAAUAUUUUGCCUAAAUUCAAAACGAAAGAAGAUGUUCAAAGAAGCGCCAAUACAUUUUUGUAUAGCAAGUUUUGUAAUAAUAGCUGGGUUAUCUGGGCAUUUUGAACUCUAG
rnacentral:rRNA from 1 species